GAUGGAACAAUGUAGGUAAGGGAAGUCGGCAAAAUGGAUCCGUAACUUCGGGAAAAGGAUUGGCUCUGAGGGUUGGGCUUAGGGGUCUGCGGCUUGACCCUGUAGGCUGCUGGCGGUCUGCCCGAGCUGCUUGCGCGGCGAGGGCAGGCCCCGGCGUGCCGACCUGGUGACGGACGCAGAACGCCCCUCCCCGCGGGGGGCAUUCCCUAGGCAUCGAACAACCGACUCAGAACUGGAACGGACAAGGGGAAUCCGACUGUUUAAUUAAAACAAAGCAUUGCGAUGGUCCCUGCGGAUGUUGAUGCAAUGUGAUUUCUGCCUAGUGCUCUGAAUGUCAAAGUGAAGAAAUUCAACCAAGCGCGGGUAAACGGCGGGAGUAACUAUGACUCUCUUAAGGUAGCCAAAUGCCUCGUCAUCUAAUUAGUGACGCGCAUGAAUGGAUUAACGAGAUUCCCACUGUCCCUAUCUACUAUCUAGCGAAACCACAGCCAAGGGAACAGGCUUGGAAGAAUCAGCGGGGAAAGAAGACCCUGUUGAGCUUGACUCUAGUCUGACUUUGUCAAUGGGGUUUUAUUUAGUUUAUCCUCUAUAAACCAUAGAGUCCGAUUUCGACACGCUCGAAACCGGGAAAGAGCUCUUCAAGAUUUUUAGGGGGGGUGGGACGAGGGGGACGAAGUAGAACUGGUACUCGAACCCGUGAUGUCUGAGCUCCGAGCUUCCGAAGUUCCUGAUGUGGAACUCUGUCGACUCGGGGAGGUACACGUGCCUUCGUUCCUGAACAUGUGCUGCCAAAUCCAUAUUGGUGGCUUCCACGUCCAUUCUUCUUCUCCAGCCUCGCUUCUUCCUCUAAAAAACGGCCACAGCUUCUUCUCCUUCGCUAUCUUCCCUUCCUCACCUCGUUUGAUCAGCGUGUCCAGGCGGGCCGCGAGUGAGACGAUCAGUCUGGACCAAACCUUUGAGAUAGUUGCUCGAGCCGAGGGGUCCGUGUCCUCGAACAGCCUGGCGCAGCGAGCCUUCCAUAUCUCUGCUAGUGUGCAUCCCCGAAGCGCAUCAAAGAGCUCCUGGUGGAGGUGCGUAAUGUGUGUCCGAGUUUGGUUGAGUUGAUCAAAGUGUGGGGCCUCAUUGUGUCUCCACUUCCAUGCAUCAGGAUUCUUUGUUUUUCCUUGGAUGAAGCUACCCCAGAGCGCUGAUUCGUAUGUGAUUGCAGCGCCUCCGGUUGACGUUUGUUUGAGCACCGCUGCUGCACCUUCCCAUACUUCCUGUGCUGCUGGACAUUCCCAUAAGAUGUGUCGCUGUGUUUCUAUGGCUCCACAGGUCUUGCAGGCUGUAUUCGGAAGAUGUAUGGCGACCAGGGAGGGAAGACGUUCUUGUUGGGCCAGCCACAUGAAGUAGCGGUUCUUAGCUGACCAGCGCCCUUUCCAGAUCUUGUUGAUGCAGUGUGAGUGGUUCCUGGAACGGAUCUGUUGGGCCUUUGCUUUCCGGAUGAGGGAGGAUCGAGUUGGCACCCUGAUCAGCUUGCGGCCCAGCUUGGUCUCGUACUGGAAGAAGUCCUUGCACGUGGUUCCCCUCCAAUGCCACUCUGCAGGAUCCCACUUGAGUUCGUCCAGGGUUUGUUGGCGGAACCAGUAGAGGCGGGCAUAUUGGUUUUUUGGGAUCAGUGGAUCAACGUUGGCAGUUUUUUUCUCCAUUUGAAUCACUCUGAUCGGUUUGGCCCUACUCAUGUCGGGGAGGUCCUCGUACUCGGGGGUAACGAUGGGGUACAAGCGUCCAGCCUGUCCUGCCUUGAAGACUAGUCCCGAUGCCAUGUUGGGGAGGGUGCAUACGAUCGAUUCGUCCACCUUCCACCAACGAUGGUGUUGAUCCUCUUGCAGGUUUAGUCGUUCAAGGCAUGCGUGUUUGGCUGCUAAAAAGGCUGUCUGGAAUUUACGCAUCCUGUGUUCUGAGAUGGUUAAUCCGUAGAAAGUACUGAUGCGGUCGCGAUUGUGGGCCGUCUGGUUGGGCUGGAUCAUGGUGUCUGCCUCUGCGAAGGUUCUCAUCCCUGCUCUGUGCAGGUCUCUGCAUGUCUGGUCCAGGCCGCGAUCCUCUGAAGCUCCGAGCGUUUUACCGUUGACAGCGAAGAGUUUGCUCAAGAAAAUUGGCUGCCGGUCCAGUUGUUCUUUGGUACGAGGUGGUUCACGUUCCAGCUUGCACUUGAAUUGCCUCCAGAGCUUGAACAGCUUUCCUGAGAACGUGUGAGCCUUUGUCAUUUUGAGUUUGGUGUCUGAGAAGAGCCAUUGUUCGUCUGGCGCCCAGUUUUGUCUGGUGUGCUCGUUCCUGUCCGGGAGGACUUUCAAAAAUUGUGCUCGCAGCAGUAUUCUCCAUGGUUGGUGGCCAGGCAUGAGCAUCCUUGUGAAAAUUUUGAAGAGAAGAGCCUUGCAUUGUUCUUCGAUGUCAAUAAUAUUGAGGCCGCCUUCGUGCUUCGGAAGUGUUACUGACCGCCAGUUGACCUUUGCUCCACCACGCGACACGCAGGAGGAGCCUUUCCAGACAUAGGUUCGAAUGAGUUGGUUCAUUUCCUGGAUCGUUCGCCUGUCCAUGUUCCAGCAUGCUGCCAGGAACCAGAUCGCUCCAAGUAGGAUGCUGUUAGCCACCACACAGCGUGCUGAGAACGAUAGUUUUCUGCUCGCCCAGAACUUGAGUUGAUCCCUUAGUUUUGUUACUGCUUUUUGGUUCUGGGGUUCUGGAUCAUACUGGCGUCCCACUUGGAAUCCAAGGUAGCGGGUGGUCUCCUCCGUGUCCAGCCAUUUGAAGCCCAGCUCCGUGCCCCAUGUUGGAGGUCUGCCGGGGGGGAGCCAUAGUCCUACCGAUUUGUGCCAGUUUAUUUUCGAUCCCAUGGCCUCAUUGAAAAAGUCCAGGUCCCUUUUGACGCUUGAGAGGUUCUCCGGUGAUCCCUCCAUGAUCUAGUCUGACUUUGUCAAUGGGGUUUUAUUUAGUUUAUCCUCUAUAAACCAUAGAGUCCGAUUUCGACACGCUCAAAACCGGGAAAGAGCUCUUCAAGAUUUUUAGGGGGGGUGGGACGAGGGGGACGAAGUAGAACUGGUACUCGAACCCGUGAUGUCUGAGCUCCGAGCUUCCGAAGUUCCUGAUGUGGAACUCUGUCGACUCGGGGAGGUACACGUGCCUUCGUUCCUGAACAUGUGCUGCCAAAUCCAUAUUGGUGGCUUCCACGUCCAUUCUUCUUCUCCAGCCUCGCUUCUUCCUCUAAAAAACGGCCACAGCUUCUUCUCCUUCGCUAUCUUCCCUUCCUCACCUCGUUUGAUCAGCGUGUCCAGGCGGGCCGCGAGUGAGACGAUCAGUCUGGACCAAACCUUUGAGAUAGUUGCUCGAGCCGAGGGGUCCGUGUCCUCGAACAGCCUGGCGCAGCGAGCCUUCCAUAUCUCUGCUAGUGUGCAUCCCCGAAGCGCAUCAAAGAGCUCCUGGUGGAGGUGCGUAAUGUGUGUCCGAGUUUGGUUGAGUUGAUCAAAGUGUGGGGCCUCAUUGUGUCUCCACUUCCAUGCAUCAGGAUUCUUUGUUUUUCCUUGGAUGAAGCUACCCCAGAGCGCUGAUUCGUAUGUGAUUGCAGCGCCUCCGGUUGACGUUUGUUUGAGCACCGCUGCUGCACCUUCCCAUACUUCCUGUGCUGCUGGACAUUCCCAUAAGAUGUGUCGCUGUGUUUCUAUGGCUCCACAGGUCUUGCAGGCUGUAUUCGGAAGAUGUAUGGCGACCAGGGAGGGAAGACGUUCUUGUUGGGCCAGCCACAUGAAGUAGCGGUUCUUAGCUGACCAGCGCCCUUUCCAGAUCUUGUUGAUGCAGUGUGAGUGGUUCCUGGAACGGAUCUGUUGGGCCUUUGCUUUCCGGAUGAGGGAGGAUCGAGUUGGCACCCUGAUCAGCUUGCGGCCCAGCUUGGUCUCGUACUGGAAGAAGUCCUUGCACGUGGUUCCCCUCCAAUGCCACUCUGCAGGAUCCCACUUGAGUUCGUCCAGGGUUUGUUGGCGGAACCAGUAGAGGCGGGCAUAUUGGUUUUUUGGGAUCAGUGGAUCAACGUUGGCAGUUUUUUUCUCCAUUUGAAUCACUCUGAUCGGUUUGGCCCUGCUCAUGUUGGGGAGGUCCUCGUACUCGGGGGUAACGAUGGGGUACAAGCGUCCAGCCUGUCCUGCCUUGAAGACUAGUCCCGAUGCCAUGUUGGGGAGGGUGCAUACGAUCGAUUCGUCCACCUUCCACCAACGAUGGUGUUGAUCCUCUUGCAGGUUUAGUCGUUCAAGGCAUGCGUGUUUGGCUGCUAAAAAGGCCGUCUGGAAUUUACGCAUCCUGUGUUCUGAGAUGGUUAAUCCGUAGAAAGUACUGAUGCGGUCGCGAUUGUGGGCCGUCUGGUUGGGCUGGAUCAUGGUGUCUGCCUCUGCAAAGGUUCUCAUCCCUGCUCUGUGCAGGUCUCUGCAUGUCUGGUCCAGGCCGCGAUCCUCUGAAGCUCCGAGCAUUUUACCGUUGACAGCGAAGAGUUUGCUCAAGAAAAUUGGCUGCCGGUCCAGUUGUUCUUUGGUACGAGGUGGUUCACGUUCCAGCUUGCACUUGAAUUGCCUCCAGAGCUUGAACAGCUUUCCUGAGAACGUGUGAGCCUUUGUCAUUUUGAGUUUGGUGUCUGAGAAGAGCCAUUGUUCGUCUGGCGCCCAGUUUUGUCUGGUGUGCUUGUUCCUGUCCGGGAGGACUUUCAAAAAUUGUGCUCGCAGCAGUAUUCUCCAUGGUUGGUGGCCAGGCAUGAGCAUCCUUGUGAAAAUUUUGAAGAGAAGAGCCUUGCAUUGUUCUUCGAUGUCAAUAAUAUUGAGGCCGCCUUCGUGCUUCGGAAGUGUUACUGACCGCCAGUUGACCUUUGCUCCACCACGCGACACGCAGGAGGAGCCUUUCCAGACAUAGGUUCGAAUGAGUUGGUUCAUUUCCUGGAUCGUUCGCCUGUCCAUGUUCCAGCAUGCUGCCAGGAACCAGAUCGC
rnacentral:ncRNA from 1 species